AGGCAGUUCUGGCUCAAGAUCUCUCAUGAUACUGCAGACACCACACCAACGAGGACCCCAGUCCUCUGGCACUGGAGGACCCACUUAGAAGGCGGAUGACUCACGUGGCUCUUGGCAGGAGACCUCAGUUCCUCCCCACAUAGGCCUCCCUAUAGGACUGCUUGAGUGUCCCGUUUACCAAAUGAUCUAAAUAUGUUCCGGUUUUGAUUGGCUGCUCUGCAAUGUGGGCCGUUAUCUAGCUGAUUCGGUGGGGCCUGAAGUGUCAGUUCCUGCCGCAGGGAUGUUAUAUGGAACCUUUGGCAGGCCGCUACAGACGAAUCAUAAUAUAAACCUGUGCUAGUUAUUGAUUACGUCCCAGCUCCUGCGUUGCCUGCUCUGUGAAAUGGUUCUGGCCCUUUAGUUUUUCCUUUACCAGCUGGCAUGAUCUUAAGCUUUGUCAGUAGAGGGCGCUGGAGAGACAUUGCAGGAGACGAGUUUCCCUUCCUGCUUCUGGUGUGUUCUCUCUAGGCUCCGGCAUGACGGGUGACUUCUUCCGAGUCUGGCUUCUGCAGCACACAGGGCUUCGCCAGCACCCAGCUCCUGCAGCAUGGGCAGCUCCUGUGACAGCAGGCGCCCGCAGCCUGCAAAGCGUCUCCAGUGCCGCCGCCUCAGUGAACCUCAACCAGCGGCACCUAGCAGCUUUCUCUGCCACCCUCUUCAGGUAGUUCUGUAGCAGCGCGUUUCUCAUGAGACACUUCCCUGUGAGCAGCUUUUUCUACCCUUGAGGAUGGAUUUCCAGCAAAUUCUGCCCAUGUGGUACCACAGCCACUUCUCUGCCAUUCAGUGAAACUGCCGUUGUGCCCUCUUCAAGGUCUGGAUCUAAGCCCAGGGACCAGGAAACCUCUUGCUUGAGUGCUGGAACUCAGGCCAGAAGGCAGGAAGCCCGCCUGACCCCAUGUCUCAGGCUGCCAGAGGAGCGUGCGAUGAGGAAGGCUGGACUGUCUUCACAGGACACCAGGGAGAAGCCUCAAGCCACUGCCCCCUGACAAGUCGCAGCUCUCCAGCCUGUCUCCUCACUCCCCUCCCCUCCACAUGGGGGGGUUGGGGUGGGGGCGGGGAAGGUUCGGGGCAGGGGUCAUUUCAGCUACUGGGCACCAGUCUCCUCCUCAUGUUUAUCCUGUUCCCUUUGCUUGAAAGGUUCGUACUCCAGAUCCUUGUAAAACCGCUUCUCACCCUUUGAGUCUCAGCUUAAAUGUCCCCUCCUUGGAGGGGUCUUCCCUGACAAUGAAGCUCCGACCGUCCUCUCCUGUUUUACCCAGUUCAUUUCUUUCUGGCAUUUGUAACUACUUGAAGUUAAAGUGUGUGCCAUGUA
ensembl:lncRNA ZNF213-AS1 ZNF213 antisense RNA 1 (head to head)